GCCAGUGUGGCGUAGUGGUUUGAGUGUAAGACUUGGACUCUGAAGAUUGAGGUUCGAUUCCCCACUCAGCCA